rnacentral:lncRNA from 1 species
GCAGUGCAGGCCUGGCCAGAGCAGGGUGGAAGGGGAUCUACCCUCCCAAGAGGUGCUAAAGCUGAGCAUCAGAAUUAGCAGUGUGGCCCUGAGUAAGUGACCCAGUUAACCUGUAAGAUUCUGUACAUAGGUAUGGAUCUGGCUACUUCUUCACAGAAUUAUGGUGACAUGGAAGAGAGCAAGGACGGAAAGUUUCCAGCAUUGGGUCACCGGGAAGGACAUGCAAAGACAGGCAUCAGAGGGUCAACUCUGGGGAGACCCUCUUGAGUCCUCUCUGCAGCCAGAACCACCCCUCCCAAGUUGCUCACCCAUGCUGUCCAUGUUUUCUAGAACAUGGCCUGGCUCCAGGGAGGGUCCUCCGUGCCUGGUGAGUCACUGAACAGGAGAUGGAGCUUGGAUCUCAUCUCUCGGGGACC